AAGCACAGUUUUUCCUACACCAGCACCACCAAACAGCCCAAUCUUCCCUCCCCUUUGGUAUGGUGCAAGAAGAUCAACAACCUUAAUACCAGUGACAAGAAUUUGUUGUUCAGUGGCUUGCUCAACAAAGGCAGGAGCUUCACGAUGGAUUGGCAAAAAGUGAUCGGUUGUAAUUGGGCCUCUCUCAUCAAUUGCCUCUCCAAUGACAUUCAUGAUACGGCCAAGUGUGGAUCGACCGACAGGAACGGUGAUAGGAGAGCCAGUAUUAAGCACACGUUGACCACGAACAAGUCCUUCAGUACCAUCCAUAGCAAUAGUCCUAACCAUAUUCUCACCCAAAUGCUGAGCAACCUCAAGCACAAGUCGGAUCUGAUUAUCCAACACCUCAAGAGCAGUAAGAAUUGGAGGCAAUCCAUCAUCAAAUCUCACAUCCACCACAGCACCAAUAACCUGACAAACCUUCCCGAUCGCACCAGCACCUGUAAACUCAUCUGUAAUUUUUCCACUAACUUCACUACCAGAUGACUUCGGCGGUGUUGAUGGCUUAGAGGCCGGAGCUGCUGCAGAGGUAGCGUACUGUACAGCACGGUUUAAGAGGAAUCCUUUAGGGGAUGCGCGUGAAGCAGGUCUAGCAAUGGAGUUUGCUACUGAUGAUCGGGAAAUUGGACCACCACCGCUGCCGGCACCGCGUUGAGCCGACGAACGGAGGAGAGAGGCGAUAAGCCUCCGGGAAGCCAUGGAAGUGUAGA
rnacentral:misc_RNA from 1 species